GCCGCUGCUGCGUAUUGUGUGACUGGCUUUGUACACUGCAAUUCAUUAUCCAGGCUGUGACGAAAAGGGAGCAGCGUUCUGCCCAACAGGAAAAAGCAUUAAGGGAAAAAAAAAAAGACCCAAAACACUAACACCCCUCCUCCACCACCCUAAUAUUAAUUAAAUAAGUCACUAAAACCAAAGGUGCUUAAAUCGUUUGGCAUUUGAGCUAUGAAUGGAAUCCGCUUGCCUAUGCCCCUUGCAGUGAAAAAUACCCUUUCCUGAAUAAUUAACUUAGCUGAAGAAGCUUAUAAAUUCUUUGUAAGGUCCUUUUUCCUUCCAAAUAGUGAGAAGAAAAUUUUCCGCCCCUCACAAUUACAAUCCCGAUGAUGGAUGAGUAUCACGAAAUAUCUGGGACCAGCGGAGAACAUGAUGACAAUGUUUACAGACAUGUCCCUUACUAAUGAUGUACAAAGCCAGAUUACUCACCCCUUGCAGAUGAGCGCCAGGUAUUACACACGUGGCAGGUAAAACAGUCUAGAUUUUGUUCCCACCUCUAUCACAGAUUUGCUGUUAUUUUGUAUUCUGACAUCACUGUUAACUUUGAAAAUCUGAACUUCUAGGUGGUGCUCUGAAGAAGCCUGGAACCUGAUUUUCUUGACUUCCACUGGAUCACUGUCGGGCUCCUGGCACCUCAAGCAAUCAGAUUUCAGGUGUCCCAAAGCAUAUACCUCAAACCCAAGGCAGUCAGCUUGUGACACUUGCACAGAGCCAACUCCUUCAUGCAGCAGAACUUUGAGAUAUGAAGAAAAACAUUACACUCAUCUACUAUGCUGGGAACCAGCACUGAGUAAAAACCUGAGUAAAGAUGA